GUCGGGUGUGGUGGCUCACACCUGAAAUCCCUGCACUUUGAGAAGCUGAGGCAGGAGGAUUCCUUGAGCCCAGGAGUUGAAGACCAGCCUGGGCAACAUGGUGAGACCCUCUCUCUACAAAAAAUACAGAAAAUAGCUGGGAGUAGUGGUGCGUGCCUGUAGUCCCAGCUAACCCGGAGGCUGAGCACUUCACUUCACCAGUUGAAGACCACCUUAUCUGAACUGUGAAAUGGAGAGGAAGUGACUGAAAAAUCGUGUGAGACAAAUCACAAAAAAACAGCAGGCAAUUACAAGAGACAUCUAGGAACAGCUAUGUCCUUAACUUCAAACCAUCUGCUGAACAUGUAGAUACCCUUGGAAACUGCAAGUGUAAGAAUGAAGUGUUCUAAACCUUGGAGUGGAAGCCUUCAGCUGGGAGUCAUUCCAAUGGUCUACAGAGAGAUGGUCAACAUCAGAACCAGAGUAAUAGCAGUGAAGAUGUAAAGGAGAAUAUGAAUGAAAAAAUGUGCACCAGAUUGAAAUCUUAUGACUUCAAAAAUUCUCUUCUAUUGGAAAAAUGGAGAGGAAGAGGAAAGGGUCUAUGAUGACACACAAGUUUCUGACUUGGCAACCUGAAUAGUGUUCAGAAGUGUAACUAAAGGGGAGAUGGAAGAAUAUCGGUAUUUUAUUCUGAUAUAUGUAAAAAUACUUUUAAUCAACUGAUUUUUGGACAUAACUGAGCGAAUUUUUCCAACAAAACUGGCUAUGCUAAAGAACCCCAAAUUACGGUGUUUUGGAUGGCUAAAGAAUGUGCUGAGAUGUUGAUUCCCUGGGCCAUCAAGCUGGUGCAUCCUCAGUGUGAUUGGUAAAUAUUUAUUUCUACAGAGUCCAAGACGUGAGAAUGGUUUUGUGGCAUAAAAGUCAUGAUGUCGACGUAAAACAUUUUCUUGUGACUAGCAAAACAUGUUAAAUUGCAUUGUCCAUUUGUGUAUGAAAAGAGAAAACCUUUAAAAAUCUCUUCUGGGCAUCAUGUUUAGGCACAAAAUUGGGAGUAUUUGUUUUGCAUGCAUUUUAUCUUCUUAAUUAUCUACUUACAUGAAGUCAUCUAUACAAUAGGUAUUAGUGGAACUGGAGAUUGAUAUCAGUAUAAUGGUCAAAUAGCAGGUAUAGAACUGUUAUUUCAAGCAACACCUCAAGAAAGGCAGGUAUGUGUGCAGGACAGAGCUCCGGGUGACCUUGGACUGACCCAGUUCUCUCCCCCUUUCUCAUGUGAGGUUCUCAAACAUAAACAUAGAGAAUAUGCUGGCAGUGCAGCUUGCCGAGAUAAGAAGGAACAGGCUCUAUUCCUGCCCCUCCUGGAACAAGAUGUCCUUCAGCAUUUUAGCUUGGCAAAUUAUGUUAUCCCUGGGAUAUAAAACCCAAGGUACACUGUUUUCAGCUGCAGUGCAGGUGGGGCACACAUAAGAUGCCAGACACCCUGGGCAGCUUUUCUGAGCUUCAGAAAAGCUCAUCAUGAAUUCUAGGGCUCUGCUUCCCCUUACCGCCUAUGUGUGAAUAAUAAAAUUGCUUCACAUAACUUGUAUGAGUAUUAUGUCUCACCUGACUCAUGCAAGUGAUAAAAAUUGCAGAUCCAAAUGCAGUGGACUGAAGUGUUAAGACUUCUCUUUCUCGUGAUGGGCUUAGUGAUGAUAUUUGCUAUUCCCCAUGCAGUGGGAAUUUUUCCCAGCGGUUGGUAACCAGUGCACAGUUCACCUGCUUCACAAUGCAGAGGAGGGGAAGCUGAAGGUUGAAGAACCAGAGGAGGUCAUAUUCAAGCAGAGGUCACAAGCACUGGGAAAUUAGGACACCUUGCAAUAGUAUAUAAAUUCGAGGUUAGGACCCAAUUAUAGAUUGCAAAAUCAAAGAUUUAAUUCAGAGAUCAGGGAGCUUGUUUUCAGUAACCAGUUAUCAGGAAGGAGUCAGAAGUCUAGAAGAAAAUUAACUGUGCCUGAAACAAAGAAGAGGCAUAUGAGGUCCAGAAUUCAGAUCUAGAGAACAUGUCAUAAUGCUCAAAGUGCUGGCAUAAUCCAAAGGCAAUGAUGUUUUCUUCACACUUUCUGCCACGACAGGGUGAAGUCUCAGCAGGAGAAGGAUCAAGGUUCAUUCUUACAUUCUUAUAUCCUACUAUUUAUUUAAUUUGGUUCAUCUUUAACCUCAUUCUCUAAUACUCACUUUCCUUAUCUCUCUGGGAUAGCCUCUUUGGACCAGUAGACUUUGAAGAUGUCAAAGCAUUCACAUUUGCUGCUGCCUGCAAAACCUUGCCCCUAGACAGUUGCACUAUUCAUUUUCACAUGGCCUCUGUUCUGACAUCACCUCCUCAGUGAUGUCUUUGCUAACAACCCUAUGUAAAGUAGAACCAACACAUUAGUCUUCAGCCCUUACUUGUUUCAUUUCCAGUCAUAGACCUUAUCCCUAUGAUACUGCAUUGAAUCUUUAUUUGCAAACAAACAGAAGCUCUAUAUAAUGGAUAAUUUGUCUACUUCCCACCUAUUCCCAGGAAUAUUCUUC
rnacentral:lncRNA from 10 species